UUUUUUUUUUUUUUUCGUUUUUAAUGACCUGGGAACCUCCACAUGCGUGGGAAGCAGCCCUCGAAAAGGCAAAAAGAAAAAGAAAAAAAAAAAAUUCCCUUUUCUAGGGUGAGCUCAGUUGCCCUAAAGGAGUGAGAGUGUGAGUAUGGAAAAGUCAUGGGAUAAGGGGGCAGGACUCCACUAUGUUGGAGAUGGAGCAGAGGUCCUCUGGUCAUCUAGUUGGCAUGGAGGUGGUUGAAGAAGCAUGAUGUUGAGAAGUGAGUUUGAAGCAAGAAGUAGGUGCCGAGUGAUAGAGGGAAGAACCAGUCAAGGAGGGGCAGAGUGGAUAGAACAGAUGAAACCAGAGUUCUGCCAGGAGAACCUUAGGAAGUAUGACUGUAAGUCAAAGUUGAUAGAAAAGUCCUACAUUCAACCAACUGUUGUCUCUAAGAGUUGGGCUCCUCCCAGAAAGGAAAAAUGUAAAAAGAAAGCAGAGAUCUUCAAGAUGGAGCCAAGGAAAUGUACCACCCAGUCAGGGUAUAUGGCAGCCUAGGAGGGGAUGUCUGAGAAAAUGCAGUUAGGUACAAAGUGCAUCAAUCUCAGGGAUGUGGGCUGGGUGACCAUCUUCUUAGGUAAUGGAGGCCCUGUGAUAGGGGUUUCAGAGACCACAAAUAGGAAUUUCUGGGUCCCUUCUUAGAAUCCAGCCAGGAGCCCAAUCAAUGUUCCUGGUUAUUUUGCCACCUCAGCCAUCUGAGGAGGCAACCACCAAAAUACAUGGAGCAGCAUCAGUUGUUAUUAAGCAUCUUUUAACCCUGGAGAACUUUGAAUGAAGGAUAGUCAUGUUUAAGAACCUGGAACCUAUAGCAUUACUGUGUUUUCACUAAGGAAUCAACACAGUUUGUUUUUAUUUUUUUAUUGUUUUGCUUUUUAGGGCUGCACCCACAGCAUAUGGAGGUUCCCGGGCUAGAGGUCAAAUCGGAGCUGUAGCUGCCUGCCUACAACACAGCUCAUAGCAAUGCCCGAUCCUUAACCCACUGAGCGAGGCCGGGGGUCGAGCCCACAACCUCAUGGUUACUAGUCGGAUUCGUUUCUGCUGUGCCACCGUGGGAACUCCUGCAGUGUUUUUUUGUUUUUGUUUUUUUUCUUAAAUCCUUGACAUAUGGAGGAGCAUUUGCCUUUUAGUUUGAUAAGUUUACCUAGUAAUACCAACUAAAGAGUGUUGAAUAAUUUGUCUAGACAUGAAUUUUAAGUUGAAAUCUUGCGAAGUUUCUAUAUAUAUUUUGGAACAUUUAAAAUGAUUUGAGAUUUGCUGUAUUUGUGAACCUAAUUUAUUGGAGGUGUAAUAAGUACUUCGGAGGGUUUGUUUUAGUCAGAUAAAUGAAAUUCUUAAAGAUAUGAACUUUAAGCUCCUUUGUUUUAUAAACAAUAAGAUUUAUAAUCUGAACUUUUUAAAAGCUUAGACAAGAACUAGAAUUUUGAAUAUGUAAGUUUGAAAAUUGAGUGUAGCUCUAAAAAUCAAAGUAAUUUCUGGAUAAUUAUUUCUAUACACAAAAGGAUUCCUCACGGAUAUCAAAAACAGGUCUUUCAUUCAGAGAAACUCUACAUGUAGUGUUAUCACAAACCCAAGUCAGGAGUUCCCUUUGUGGUGCAGUGGAAAUGAAUCCGACUAGGAACCAUGAGGUUGCAGGUUCUAUCCCUGGCCUCUCUCAGUGGGUUAAGGAUCCAGCAUUUUAGUGAGCUGUGGUGAGGGUUACAGAUGUGGCUCGGAUCUGGCGUUGCUGUGGCUGUGGUGUAGGGCGGCAGCUACAGCUCCAAUUAGACCCCUAGCCUGGGAACCGCCAUAUGCUGUGGAUGUGGCCCUAGAAGACAAAAAGG
rnacentral:lncRNA from 1 species